rnacentral:tRNA from 7 species
GCUUGUCUAGCCUAGUUGGUAAAGCACAAAGCUCCUCACCUUGGGGUUUGGGUUCAAGCCCCAUAAUUUGCG